rnacentral:rRNA from 1 species
AACGAACGCUGGCGGCAGGCUUAACACAUGCAAGUCGAGCGAGACCUUCGGGUCUAGCGGCGGACGGGUGUGUAACGCGUGGGAACGUGCCCUUCUCUAUGGAAUAGCCCCGGGAAACUGGGAGUAAUACCGUAUAGGCCCUUUGGGGGAAAGAUUUAUGGGAGAAGGAGGGGCACGCGUUGGAUUAGGUGGUUCGGGGGCUAAUGGCCCACGAAGCCGAGGAUCCGUAACUUGUUUGGGAGGCUGAUCAGCGACACUGGGACUGAGAAACGGCCCAGAAUCCUACGGGAGGGAGGAGGGGGUGAUGGUAGACCAUGGGGUGAGUCCAGAAGUUCCCAUGCCGGGUGAGUGAUGUAGGUCGGAGGGUAGUAAAGCUCUUUCAGCUGGGAAGAUAAUGACGGUACCAGCAGAAGAAGCCCCGGCUAACUCCGUG